AACAAUGAGCAAAGCAAUUCCCCGAGACUACGGCACCGACUCCUACCGAGUCAACUCCAACGUCACUAUUGUUGGUGGUUACCGAACCUUCCAGCCUUCUUCCUGCGUCAUCGCCUGAUCUGAGUCUUAAUGGCAAGUUCAAGUAGCUACAAGUACGAGUAGUGGAAAUUCGUUGAUCUUG
rnacentral:misc_RNA from 1 species